UAGGGAAUCUUCCACAAUGGGCGAAAGCCUGAUGGAGCAACGCCGCGUGUGUGAUGAAGGGUUUCGGCUCGUAAAACACUGUUGUAAGAGAAGAAUGACAUUGAGAGUAACUGUUCAAUGUGUGACGGUAUCUUACCAGGAAAGGAACGGCUAAAUACGUGCCAG
rnacentral:rRNA from 1 species